GACAAAAGUCUCCUCUAAACCUCACUUUGCAUACUUGUCAGGUAAUAUAGGCUGCAGAAUAGUCGCCAGAUGCACUGCUUUGAAGGAAUUGGAACAAUAUCUGGAGUCAGGUUCAGUUUUUCACCUCCUACAGGGAGAGGAUACACUCAAAGGUUUUGCAGUGCUCUCUGAACCUGCCUAGGGACUGUCCCAUGCUCUGGGCUUGAGAGAUUACGGCAUGCUGCCUGCUGUCCUUUUCUGUCCAUGGCUGGUUCCCCAGAAAAUCUUUGUUCUGGGAACUGUAAGAAAUGGUCAGAGCCAGGUUCAGAUGCAGAGGUGACGAGGGAGACUUGAAAAGUCACAGGCAGCUCAGUCUGGAUAUCUGAGCCUUAGCUGGCUGAUGGGGCACUGUGUGAAAAUGCUUCCAUUGCACAGAGCUAGGACUCGGAAACCACCACUGAGCAUGUGUUUCUGAGGGAGAAGAAGUGCUGAAAUGGUUGCUCCGCUUUCGCCAAGGGAAGAGGGUAGAUCCCAGUGAGGUGUGUGUAAUGCACAUAUUCACUGAAGCUGAGGCUCACAUGCCUGAAGUGGAACAGCACCUUUACAGCUGCAAUAAUCACAGGAACUGUGCAAAACUCCAUUAACAAUUUCAGCACAGCUGGACACCUCAUUCUCCCAGAUCCCAGUGAUGGUAACUGGAAUGUCAUGGGCAGUGACAAGUUGGGGAGUGUUUUUAAGAUUUCAGUAACAGAAAGUGGUUUAGGUGAGUGAUUGAGGACUGAACUGUUUAUCUAUUCCCAUACGGGUCUGGCACACCAAAUACCUGCAGGGUGAUACUGAUUUCUGACACAGACUCGGCCUAGAGAAAGAGGAGCUACUCCUCUGUACCUCAUACC